GCCUGGGUGGCUCAGUUGGUUGAGCGUCCAACUUCAGCUCAGGUCAUGAUCUCACAGCUUGUGGGCUCAAGCCCCACAUCAGGCU
rfam:Felis catus isolate Cinnamon breed Abyssinian chromosome B2, whole genome shotgun sequence.